GGCAGUGUAGCAUAAUGGCUAAGGAUUUGGUCUUGCAACCUAAAGGUCGCUGGUUCGAUUGCCCGGUUGGACCCUGCCA
rnacentral:tRNA from 1 species